GCUGGGUGUGGUGGCGUGCGCCUGUAGUCCCAGCUACUUGGGAGGCUGAGGCAGGAGAAUCGCUUGAACCCGGGAUGUGGAGGUUGCAGUGAGCCAAGAUCGUGCCACUGCACUCCAGCCUGGGCAACAGAGCAAGAUUCUGUCUCAA
ensembl:misc_RNA Metazoa_SRP Metazoan signal recognition particle RNA